rnacentral:rRNA from 1 species
CGGAGCUUGCUCUGUGGGAUCAGUGGCGAACGGGUGAGUAACACGUGAGCAACCUGCCCCUGACUCUGGGAUAAGCGCUGGAAACGGCGUCUAAUACUGGAUAUGUGACGUGACCGCAUGGUCUGCGUCUGGAAAGAAUUUCGGUUGGGGAUGGGCUCGCGGCCUAUCAGCUUGUUGGUGAGGUAAUGGCUCACCAAGGCGUCGACGGGUAGCCGGCCUGAGAGGGUGACCGGCCACACUGGGACUGAGACACGGCCCAGACUCCUACGGGAGGCAGCAGUGGGGAAUAUUGCACAAUGGGCGCAAGCCUGAUGCAGCAACGCCGCGUGAGGGACGACGGCCUUCGGGUUGUAAACCUCUUUUAGCAGGGAAGAAGCGAAAGUGACGGUACCUGCAGAAAAAGCGCCGGCUAACUACGUGCCAGCAGCCGCGGUAAUACGUAGGGCGCAAGCGUUAUCCGGAAUUAUUGGGCGUAAAGAGCUCGUAGGCGGUUUGUCGCGUCUGCUGUGAAAUCCGGAGGCUCAACCUCCGGCCUGCAGUGGGUACGGGCAGACUAGAGUGCGGUAGGGGAGAUUGGAAUUCCUGGUGUAGCGGUGGAAUGCGCAGAUAUCAGGAGGAACACCGAUGGCGAAGGCAGAUCUCUGGGCCGUAACUGACGCUGAGGAGCGAAAGGGUGGGGAGCAAACAGGCUUAGAUACCCUGGUAGUCCACCCCGUAAACGUUGGGAACUAGUUGUGGGGUCCAUUCCACGGAUUCCGUGACGCAGCUAA